CCGAGUGAGGGCCCCUCGCGGCCCAACCUCCCACCCGUGUCUCCAACACCUGUUGCUUCGGCGGGCCCACCGGGGCCACCCGGUCGCCGGGGGACAUCCGUCCCCGGGCCCGCGCCCGCCGAGGCGCUCUGUGAACCCUGAUGAAGAUGGGCUGUCUGAGUGAUAUGAAAAUUGUCA
rnacentral:misc_RNA from 1 species